UACAGAGGGUUCUAGCGUUGUUCGGAAUUACUGGGCGUAAAGGGCGCGUAGGCGGCCCGCUAAGUCAGACGUGAAAGCCCUGGGCUUAACCUAGGAACUGCGUUUGAUACUGGCAGGCUAGAAAACGGAAGGGGAAAGCGGAAUUCCUGGUGUAGAAGUGAAAUUCGUAGAUAUCAGGAGGAACACCGAAGGCGAAGGCAGCUUUCUGGUCCGAUUUUGACGCUGAGGCGCGAAAGCGUGGGGAGCAAACAGG
rnacentral:rRNA from 1 species